CUUGUUUGUGGAGAGGGAUGAAUUUGACCAUCUUGUGUGUUUAUGGAGAAGACCAAAAGCUGCUAAGGCAGAUAUUUCCAGUGGUAGAAACAGAGCGGAUGGUUGCAUGAUGGCCUUUUUCAGUUUUGUCAUCUGAACGUUUACUAGUGAGGCUCAGCAAGUUCUUGUCAUGAUCAGCCCUCUCCAAGAAAGCUAAAGAGCAAAAACACAAAGAACAUCAGACCUGUUGGGGAUGAGGAAUGAACAUGGCUCUAUUGUGCCCAAACAGAAAAGACUGAAAAGGUGCUAGUUCCCAUUGGUAUGUCUUUAUUCAAGCAAUGCAUUAGUACAGCAUUUGAUGUUGAUCUCUUCUCAAAUCAGCAAUU